rnacentral:rRNA from 1 species
CCUACGGGAGGCAGCAGUGAGGAAUAUUGGUCAAUGGGCGGAAGCCUGAACCAGCCAAGUCGCGUGAGGGAUUAAGGCACUGCGGGUCGUAAACCUCUUUUGCCGGGGAGCAGUGGGCCGGACGCGUCCGGACCGGGAGAGUACACGGAGAAAAAGCAUCGGCUAACUCCGUGCCAGCAGCCGCGGUAAUACGGAGGAUGCGAGCGUUAUCCGGAUUUAUUGGGUUUAGAGGGUGCGUUGGCGGUCCGGUAAGUCAGAGGGAAAAUUGCGGGGCUCAACACCGUCGAGCCGUUGAAAAUGGCCGACUUGAGUUGGCGUGAAGUACGCGGAAUGCGCGGUGUAGCGGUGAAAUGCAUAGAUAUCGCGCAGAACUCCGAUUGCGAAGGCAGCGUACCGGCGCCAGACUGACGCUGAGGCACGAAAGCGUGGGGAUCGAACAGGAUUAGAUACCCCAGUAGUC